GAUAUAAAUAUCGAAAUAUAUGCCAUGUUUGCAUUCACGCGAAUUAGUGACAAACUAUCAAAGAAGAAACUAUACAUUGAACGCGCGUCUGCUUUUUAAGGAGGUUUUACAUUGCUCGAUUCGCGGCAGAAUGAACGAGAGAGGGGGAAGAAGAACUCUUGCGGAGUAGCCUCUUUCGAAGGUAUUUGCACGUUUCACGCGUCGAUCGCGCGCGGUGCAAUUAUACGGAAGUGUUUCGAAAUGGGAGACGUGCAAAUAUUCCCUCCAUGUUCGACGUUUGAAUUUGCCUACGUACUUGGACACUGGAAUGUCUCUUAAUAUUAUAUCGAAAGGACGAAGAUUCCAUUGAGUUACCAGAAAUAGAAUUGGAUGAACACGGAAAGCGUUUGGGUAUAUUUACGAUUCAUAUUAAAUCAGAAUACCAAAUUAUUGGAGGUAAGCGUGGAUAAGUAGAGGGCUCCACUGAACACAGAAUAUCAACUCGCCAGAAAUCCUAGAAUCAAAUCUAAGUAAAUUUUCUUACUUUUUUUCUUUUUUUUUUUUUAUAAAAAAAUAGAAUUACAAAUACUUCACCAACUAAAGUAAAUUUCUAACUGAAGAAAAAUUCAAGAUUCCUGAAAAUAAUUCCAAAUCGCGAAUAAGAUAUUACUUCUCCCUUUCCCUCAGCUUUGCAAACAAACGUUUUAAUAACCAGAUAAUCGUCGACCGAUUUCUUUGAAAAGUUACAGAUUGGGCACGAGUUUCCAGGAGCGGGCCGUGUAAUUUUGAAAAUUACGAGACACACGGGGAAAUAUAUACGCGUAAUUAGAAAAGUCGUUGAAUUCCUGGGAGCGGGGACCGAUGAUUGACCAUGCGGCCGGCUUAAAUGAAGCGACUGGCGGCCGGCCGUCGGUGGCUCGUAAUUAUCGAGAGACUCGGGUUAAUUGGCUUGACCGCUGCACUCGUCCCAUUUUCAACGCGUUUCGCUGUAAUUUAAAGUAAUGCAAUCCGGUUUCUAAUUAGCGCACUCUAUUAAAACCGUACAGAAAACUGUCGACCUAAUGUACUUUCCUGCAUUACCACUACUUACACACCUUACUGCUUACUACCUCUGCUAUUUUUUACGCUCCCCUCCCCCCCUUAAUUAAUCGCGGAUUACAGGGAAUAGCCCGCGGCCACUCGGUUUUGCGCUUCAUUUUUCUUUUUUUUUUUUUUUUU